rnacentral:rRNA from 1 species
UACGAAGGGGGCUAGCGUUGCUCGGAAUCACUGGGCGUAAAGGGUGCGUAGGCGGGUCUUUAAGUCAGGGGUGAAAUCCUGGAGCUCAACUCCAGAACUGCCUUUGAUACUGAGGACCUUGAGUUCGGGAGAGGUGAGUGGAACUGCGAGUGUAGAGGUGAAAUUCGUAGAUAUUCGCAAGAACACCAGUGGCGAAGGCGGCUCACUGGCCCGAUACUGACGCUGAGG